CAAAGCGCGAAAGUAAAUUUGUCUCGGAUAUUGGAAAAAAGAAACGCGCGUGUUAGUCAGUUAAAUAGUUACUUAGUUAGUUACUUAUUUUGUUUGAAGUUAAUAAAUGUGUAUUGAAAAGUGAAAGGCAACAAUAACUUAAACGGCUGCAAGAUCUUCCACAAUGUGGCCAACGGACUGUCAGUCGACUUAGCCUACGAUUCAAAACAAUUAUGAAUAACAACAGAACUGGAAAUACCCGCGGGCGCGGGAGACCAAAGAAACGACAGUUUCAACAGAAAAAGGAAGGAAGACCAGAUGAUGUUGUUAAAAAGGAUAAGUAUAUGGUUGCUCAGUCUACCACACAGGAAAGUAUAGAAAAAUCCAAUGCUAAUACAAAUGUAAAUAAAACAACAACAAAAAUUUUAACUUUACAAAAUUUGCUUACUCUUGGCCCAAUUAAUGUUUUGUCCGUCACAACUGACUUUGGUCUACAGGAUUCUGUUUUUGGACCCUGGGAGUAUAAAAAUGAUCAUAACUGCAUCGUAAAGUAUACCAUUCAAGGCUCAGACAUCAGUCAUUCAAUUCGCCUUGAUAACAUGUUAACAAGAGGAAUACCAACUACUGAAAGAUCAUCCCUCGCUUUCCGUUGGUAUUCAUGGAUUCGUUUGAAGGCCAUUGCAAAUCAAAAAAACUUAACAAUAAACUCAGUGCUGACGAAUGAGGGUCAAUUUCUUUCACUUCUACACGAAGUAAAUCUUUAUUACACUAAAUAUUCAAAAGCUUGUAGAGAUGAAGGCUUAGAGCCAAAUCGUGGACCACAAUCCCAUGAAGAUGCUUGCAAUUUAGAGCGCCUUCAUUAUUAUGGAAAGGGCACAAUAAAAUACUACAGAAAAACAACUUUCUUGCAGUUAGUUGCAAAAAGAUAUGGAGAAAAUG